ensembl:lncRNA
GGGGAGCGGGGGUGAUGAUGAAGCUGAGCGCUGUGAUGAAGGUGAGCGCUGUCAUGAUGGUGUGAUGAUGAAGGUGAGCGCUGUCAUGAUGAAGGUGUGAUGAUGAUGAAGGUGUGAUGAUGAAGGUGACCGCUGUGAUGAAGGUGAGCGCUGUGAUGAUGAAGCUGAGCGCUGUGAUGAUGAAGGUGUGAUGAAGGUGAGCGCUGUGAUGAUGAAGAUGAGCGCUGUGAUGAAGGUGUGAUGAAGGUGAGCGAUGUGAUGGCACUCUGGUGUACAGCAGUGUGGCACAGAAAGUAUUUUAGGAUAGUUAUUCAGUUCACUCUUUUACCCAGAGGCACUCAAACUCACACACACCACAUACACACACACACACACAC